rnacentral:misc_RNA from 1 species
CUUCACGGUGAAGUUCUUACAAGCUCAAGUACUCUGAAGGUGAGUGCAGUUAAGCGGAAAACAGUGUAGACAACUCUGCAGACCCAAACAUACAUUGUUGUCGGCUAUUUGAGCAGCGAUAACCGGCAGUGUGAUGUUGGCGUCACUAGAUUCAAAAUUCCGCCGUUACAUCAAUUGCGAACUAAGAACGCCAUCAGUAACGCGUGUAUCAACAACGUGUGAAAUGUCAGUGAAACUCUGAGUAAAUAAUUCUAUUCUAAAAUGCGGAGCGCCAUGCCCGAAUUUGUGAUACCGUCCGACAAGGAUCAACUUCUUCAGACCCAGCCGGGAAAAUACUCCGUUAGAAAUGUAUAUCCGCUUCGGGACAUACAAAACAUUCUUGCUGAUACAAAUGCUAUCCUGCAGGAGGAGGGGCCCAGCUUCUUGCUCGAACACUUCGACAAAUUCUUCUCUGUUCUCGUGCACGGCUCAAAUUUAAAAAUACCUGUUCACCUUUUAGCAGUUGAUCGAAUCCACAAAUGCCUUAAAAUGUUUACAAACGAAUUAGAAAAGCAGUACGACAGAGGAAGAGAACCAGCGGCAGAAGAUAAACCACAACUGCUUACCAUCACCAAUAUGCUCGCUUACCUGUUGUCUAGUUUAAUUCGUCACAUCGAGAUUGUUGUGUCUGAAGAAUCUGCUGGCGGAAGUUCAAAGCAACGGAAGAAAGUAUCAUCGAAAACGGAUUGGGAACUCAAGUGGUAUGAUCAAAUCGAUGAAAUUUUGGUACAGAUAUAUCACUGGAUACAAUUGCCACUUGAAAAACUUUGGCAACCGCCAAUAGCUGAUGGGAGUUUUAUCAAGUGCAUUUCAGAAAUAUGCUACAGGGUUCUAGAAAGAUGCAAAAAUGUCAAAGACAAAUCUGUGCGGGAAUCAAUCUUCCAAAUACUGGGGACUCUAGUAAAGCGGUACAACCAUAGUAUAUCCUUUGUAAUAAAAGUAGUUCAGUUGGUCAAAAUGUGCGAUGGACUAGCAGUGUAUUUGGCAACUGGUAUAAUAGAAGUUAUUGAACAAACCAAAUGCACCGGUAUCAUUAAGGAGAUACUGCGUGAAGUUGACCGAGCAACCCCAGAGGAAGGGGGGACGCGUAACAUUGCGACUUUCCUUGACGCAAUUGCUUCGUCAAAACCAAACCUCAUAUUACCAGCUGUUAGCAACUUGACUGACCAUCUUGCAAAUGAGUGCUACCUAAUGAGAAACUGUGUGAUUGGUAUACUGGGAACGAUAGUGAAAGAGAUUCUAACGUCUGAAGAUCUAUCUGAAGAUCAGAAGACAACACGAGACGAGUGUUUGGAGAACCUUAUGGAUCAUUUGUUGGACACAAACGCGUUUGUUAGAUCCAAGACUCUUCAGGUCUGGCAAUAUCUUUGCACAGAAGGUGCCGUGCCCUUAGUAAAUCAAAACGCUCUUCUUACGGCGGUAAUUCACCGAUUAAAUGAUAAAAACGCGAUUGUUCGCAAAUAUGCUUUUCAAUUACUCAGAACUUUGUUGCAGUGCAAUCCAUUUGCUGGAAAAUUCAACUUAGACAAGUUGACACAGCAGUUGGCAGAUGCAAAGAAAAAACUCAAGACUCUGAGAAUAAGAUUUGCAAGUAUUAGUAAACCAGGAGCGAAGAUUAGAGUAGACAUUUGGAAUGCGCUUGCCCCAAGCAUCCAAAGUGCUAUAUCAAACAUAUGUGUCGAAGAGCACAUGGAAUGCGAGGAGGAUAUUCUUUCUGAACUGGAUUCUCGCUUUGAAAAUUUGAGACAGCUACUUUUUCAAGAAAAAAUCCGCGAAGCACUGGAACAGCUAAUGAGUUUAAGUGCAAAAUUGCCAGAAAGUUUUCCCAUCGAUACUAUGACCCCUGAAAACAAAGAAGAGUUCCUAAUGUCUGUACUGCACAAAGUAUUCAUAGAUUCGCAAGAAGUUCAAAUAGUUACAGAAAAUCAAGGGAGUGGCGAUAUUGAUCAACAAAUGAAGGAAUAUGAGAAAGAGAAGGAAACGAGAAAAGAAGAUUACGCAACUCAAGCAAGAUUGGUGGAGUAUAUUAAGAACUGUUUAAUCUUCGCUACUGAGCUUUCUAAGGCGAUACCUGUAGCAGAAAUACGAUUGUCCUCGAUCUCAUCGAGUGAUGCCAUAGAAGCUUGCAGUUUUCUAGGCAUUGCAUGUCAGUUUAAAGUUGAAGGAGCUAAAGAUGCUAUGCGCAAGGCACUUCGCCAGGUUUACAGUUCUGAUGUAUCAGUUUGUGAAAAUCUGGCUGAAGUAUACACGGAGUUAUACAUCAGAGAUAGUGAACAGUAUACCUCGGAAAGGCACAAGGCAUUAGUUAUUGCUAAAGCACUUAUUAAAAUGGUGAAGAGUCUGGAACCUGGUGAAAGUCCUGCUCUCACAAAACUCAUUACGCUAUGGCGAAAAAAAGAAGUAAUAAGUGCAGAGGUGUUUCGGGUAUUGUGGGAAAGGUUUUCUCUCAAGUUAACCGACACCUUGCCAGAAGAGAGUCGAGCGGCACUUAUGCUCUUAACUAUGGCAUCUACAACUGAGUCCGCCGUUGUUACGGGUAACUUUGACAUUCUUGUCAGUGUGGGCCUUGGCCCAAGGGCAGAAACCGACCUUCUACUCGCUAGAGAUACUUGUCGUGCAAUGACCAAAGUGGCAGUGCAAAAUCCUGACCCAUUAAAAUGCCCAUCGAGGCUUCCCAAUGAGCACGAAGUGUUUGAAAAAAUUCUACUUCUGUUGGUGAAUAAAUUUCAAGACAUUGACGAAACUUGCUAUACCACAUUCUCAACGGAAGCAAUCAAUGCUAUUUAUCACUUAGCAGACCAACCAGAUUUAUUGAUGAAACAAAUGCUCAGCCAGUUGGUGAAAAAUUUUCAAUUGGCAAAUGGUACAAUUCACAGAAGAAACAUGCCUUCUGCACAACUUGCAAACCUAUUACACGUUGUUGGCCACAUUGCUAUUAGGCAAAUGAUACAUUUGGACAUGCAUGUAUACAAGGAAUUGAAGCGAAGAAACACACUGAUAGAAAUGGUGAAAAUGAAGAGGAAAGGAGAUAUAAAUAUUCGAAAUAUUGCAGAUACAACGGCAAGGAGCAUUCGUGAUGGCGAAUUGGAUACACCUUCCAGUGCUAGUCGGAUGAGGCGCCUAAAAGAUACUUCUACGAUUGAAGAUAAUGGGCAAGAAGCAAUAGAGGGUGCAACAGCGGAUGACAGUGAUGCUGAGUUUAUUCACAAUGUCUUGGAAAAUGAAGUGGUUUCAGGAAACGGAUUAUUAGCCAAGUUUGUGCCCAUGGUUUUGGAUGUUUGCCAACAUCCUGAAAAGUACACGGAUGAAGAUGUGCAGAUAUCAGGAUCACUUGCUCUUAGCAAAAUGAUGACUGUGAGCUCAUUGUUUUGCAAGGAAUAUCUUCAGCUUUUAAUUACUAUAAUGGAACGGUCGCCAUAUCCAUCUAAUAGAGCAAACCUCCUUGUUGGGGUAACGGAUCUGAUGAAUAGAUUUCCAAAUGAAGUAGAACCUUGGACUAAGCAUGUCUAUGGCAGACUUAGAGACGAGUCCCCGCUAGUCAGACGCACUUGUGUCAAAAUGUUGUCAAACUUAAUAAUGAAGGAAAUGGUCAGAGUUAAAGGUCAAGUAUCAGAAUUGGCACUCUGUGUCAACGAUCCAGAGGAAGACAUUCGUCAAGAAACUAUAAAAUUUUUCAAUGAACUGGCCAAUAAAGGGAACGCUCUAUACAACAUCAUGCCUGAUAUUCUAUCGAGGUUAACAGACUGCGAUUUGAAGCUUGAUGAGGAUAAGUUUCGGGAUAUAAUCAAAUUUGUCCUGGGUCUUCUGCAAAAAGAGAAACAAAUCGAUGCAAUCAUUGAAAAAGUCUGCAUCAGAUUCAAACUGGCUACAACUGAGCGUCAAUGGCGCGACUUGGCGUACUGUCUCUCGCUCCUUAAGUUUAAUGCAAAAGGCAUUCGUCGCCUUGUCGAUAAUCUUCACCACAUGAAGGACAAAAUCCAUCAUGAGCCAGUGCUCAAAGUUCUUAAUGGAAUUGUGGAUCAGGCAAGGAAAAAGACUGAAACUAAGGCAGCAUGUCUUGAGCUAGAAGAAAAGCUGAAGCAAAUGCUUGAUGGCAAUGACAAAGAGAAUGAAAAACCUGAUUCCGACGCCGCUAUCAUGCCGCCACCACCUACAACGCCACGACAGCUUACAACGUCACGACAAACUGCAACCCCUCGACAAGCAAGAACACCACGAGAAGCGACAAGGAGAAGCAGUAGAAUACGGUCCACUCCAAGAAACACGUAAUAAACGAAUAGGUGCAUGAGAGAAUGGGACAAGUCAAUUGAAAAAGCGUAAUGUGAAGAAUAAACCACUUCGGGAACAUAAGCGAACAACUAGGUAAUAGAUAAUGGUACCAAUUAGUGUGGCGAAGCAAUUCUCUCAAUUCCGAUUGAAAGUCAUCCCAGAGUGUAAUUACGCCUGUUGAAAGGUAAUGUAAUGCACAAUUUUUUCUGUAACAUGUUGUACUGUUUUCCGUGUAGAUUACUCAGUGAGCGCGAAGAGCACUUUCUUUACAGUUUCGAUACAAAAAUAAUUGUAAAUUAGGGAAAGUGGACCAAGCGCAGUAAGUAGUUGACACCAUUAUUUUAUGAAGAAAAUCUGCUUAGCUGCUACUUCAUUAAUGGGCAGAAAUCAAAAGAUGAAGUAUUAAAUUAGUCGGUACUUUAAAAAGACACAUCUUUUAUUUAUUUUGUCAAUUAUCAUAAUAGACACUUAUAUACGCAAUCGAUAUAUAGAAUGUUAUGAAGGAACAGAUAAACCACUUGCAAUAACAAACCUUUGGAAAGAAAACUAAAAAAAAUUAUAUAAUAUUAUUUACAUCCAUGUCAUUAUUUUAUUUUGGAAAUUGUCACCGAUUUCUACGCUGUGGUUUGCAAUGAGUAACCCAAAAUCAUCAAGAGGUUUUUUUCUGUAAAUAAUAGUAAUAACAACAUGAUAU